GCGCUCGUAGCUCAGUUGGAUAGAGCGGUGGUUUCCGGCACUACGUCUGUCGGGGGUUCGAAUCCCUCCGAGCGCG
rnacentral:tRNA from 1 species